AAGACGAACCACAAGAGAAGAGAAGACGAGAAGGGGCACAACACAACGACAACAAGGUUCGGUUAGCAUUUUUUGUGGGGGGGAAUUUGUUAUUGUGCCGAAAUUUCUUUUUUUUUUUUUUUUUUU
rnacentral:ribozyme from 1 species